AUGCUUGGGAAUCUGCCCAAUAGUGGGGGACAACUCGGGGAAACCCGGGCUAAUACCGCAUAAUCUCUACGGAGGAAAGAGGGCCUCUACUUGUAAGCUCUCGCUAAUGGAUGAGCCCAAGUCAGAUUAGCUAGUUGGUAGGGUAAUGGCUUACCAAGGCUACGAUCUGUAGCUGGUCUGAGAGGAUGAUCAGCCACACUGGGACUGAGACACGGCCCAGACUCCUACGGGAGGCAGCAGUGGGGAAUAUUGCACAAUGGGCGCAAGCCUGAUGCAGCAAUGCCGCGUGUGUGAAGAAGGCUCUAGGGUUGUAAAGCACUUUCAAUAGAGAAGAAAAGCUUGAAGUUAAUACCUUCAAGCCUUGACGUAACCUAUACAAGAAGCACCGGCUAAUUCCGUGCCAGCAGCCGCGGUAAUACGGGAGGUGCGAGCGUUAAUCGGAAUUACUGGGCGUAAAGCGAGCGUAGGCUGUUAAAUAAGUCGAAUGUGAAAUCCCCGGGCUUAACCUGGGAACUGCACUCGAAACUAUUUAACUAGAGUAUGGGAGAGG
rnacentral:rRNA from 1 species